rfam:Aedes albopictus isolate Foshan contig97157, whole genome shotgun sequence.
UGUUCUGUGGCGGAGUUGGUUAACGCGCCCUGUCUAGCGAACUUGGGGAGACGUGGGUUCAAAUACCACCAGAACUA